CUUUACUUGGGCGGGUCUUGCUGCAGCUGCUGUGGAGAAUGGGGGUAAGAUUCCUAGGUCACUGGAAUUGUGUACCUAAGAUGAUUAUGGCUACCUCUGCUGAGUCAUGCAGGUUGUCAGGGAAGUGGGGGAAAGCCAGCAGUUACAGGCCUCAGCCAGCUCCCACACAAACCGAAGGGCCUGUCUCACUUCUAACAUGUCCACGGCUCCCCAACAGCCCUGAGUAUGUUUACAGGUGGAGGGCGAGAGGGGCUUGAAACUUGCCUGAGGCUCUCCGCCUCCCAGCUGCCAAAGAAAGGGCUUUAGUUCCCUGCCCCCCACCCCCGCCCCUUCCGCCGCCUGUGAAGGGACCCACCGAGCUCCCAGGGCCUUUCUGCUGCUUCCUCUACCCCUGUAUUUUGCUCGGCUCUGUAACUUGACUCAGCUUCAGGUAAAGUCAGAAACUUCUGCAAACAGACCUUCAACUUCUCCUGUAGGGGUCACAUGGAAUCUACACAUGGAAGGACAUAGGCAUUGCAUGCAGGUAUCCGGAAUCAUUGAUAUUGGUCUUAAAAUUUGGAAGUUUCCACUUUUGCUAAGACUGCCAUUUAUAAUGAGCCCUACGGAGAGGCCAUGUGGCAAGAAGCUGAGGCUGCCAGAGGGAACCUGAGGCCUGCCAGCAACCACAUACAUGAGUUUGGAAGUUAAUUCUUCAGCUUCCUUUGAGUCUUGAGGUAGCUACAGCCUGGCCAGAACUUGACUAAACUUCAUAAGGGACACUGAGCCAGAAACACCUAACUAAGCAAAUUCUGGUUUUAUGACCUUCAGAAAUUGUGUGAAAUAAUAAAUAUUUGUUGUUUUCAUUAUUCACCAUAGCAAAGUCAUGGAAUCAACCUAGGUGCCCAUCAACAGUGGAUUGGAUAAAAAAGGUGCACAUAUAACGCAUGGAAUACUAUGCAACCAUAAAAAAGAAUGAAACCACAUCCUUUGCAGCAACAUAGUUACAGCUAUAGAGCAUAAUCCUAAGCAAAUUAACACAGGAACAGAAAAGCAAAUAUUGCCUGUUCUCACUUAUAAGUGGGAGCUAAACAUUGGGUAUACAUGGACAUAAAGAUGGAAACAAUAGAUGAUGAGGACUCCGAAAUGGGGAAAGAACUGGAGUAACGGUUGAAAACCUACCUGUUGGGUACUAUGUUCACUAUUUGGGUAACAGAUUCAGUAGAAGCCCAAACCCUAGCAUUAUGCAAUGCACCCAUGUAACAAACCUGCACAUGUACCCACUGAAUCUAAAAUAAACUGUAUUUGUUGUUGUAAGAUGCUAAAGUUUGGGAUAAGUUGUUCUGCAACAAUAGGAGUGUGUGUGUGUGUGUGUGUGUGUGUGUGUGUGUGUGUAGAGAGAGAGAGAGAGAUACAGAAAGACAGAAGAAAAGAAUAUUUUUGGCAAGUAAAACUUGCAUAUUAAUGAAAAGAAAGGAUAUUUUUGAUAAAGUAAAUUCUAAAAUACAAUAUAUAAACUAAUACAUAUAUCUGUUUGGAUUUAAUAGAUCAGAGACCAUUGUAAAAACAGUGUGCCUAUUGCAUAAAUAUCCCUAAUAAAAAACUCACAAUUCUGUAAUAAAAUUAUUAUAUAUUUUAAUUUUGAAAGAUGUUUCAAGGCUGAACUAUCCAGAUGAAAGAGGUGAAAUCCACAUAAUUAUGCUUGAAAGCAUAUGGUUUUAAUUUUUAUAUUUUUGUAAUUAAGUGAAGAAAUUAAGGGGCAUUGAAGAUUUCACCUCUAAGCAGCUCACAGUUUUCCUAAGCUUGGACUAGGUGACAACUCUCUCAAUCUCACUCAAAACAUAUUUUAGUAUAAAUUAAGGUUAAUCUGUGAAUAGAUGUCAAUAACAUUUUCCUAUUAAAUAAAUACAAAUACCUUGACUUUAAGAUACAAAAAAACUACUUGUCAUUUAGUAUUUUGUAUUUUUAACUUGCCAGAUUUAUGUCAUAAUAUAAAUGCCAGAAUUUUGUCUAGGUGAAAUAAGAAUCAUCUGAAACACAUUCAUUAUUAUUUCAUCAGAAUAAGCUUGAAUUAUGUUUUUGUAUAUUUCAGUAAAAUUAUGAUGAGAAAACAAACUAUAAAGGCCAAAAUAUUUCUAUUGCUUACUCAUUAAAAUGUUUUUAAAGAUUCAACAU
rnacentral:lncRNA from 10 species